UACCAGUAAGUGUAAUGCUGGGAAGCAGCCCUGAGCCCUGCCCUGAGCGUCCCGGCUCUGCUUCACUUGGUCUCCUUCAGCUGCACCCUGCACUGGAAGAACGAGGACGUGGUGGGCACCGUGCUGCAGGAGCAGGGUUCAGCCUUCAGGUCAACCGGCUGUCCCCUCACCUUGAUAGUCUCUACCACCUGCAAUUGGUGGUAGAACUCCUUCAGGCAUUGUGAGAAGCCCCUGUCUCUGCCAGCUUCACACAGGGUGAAGGUGCUCUGCAGGAAUUUCAUCUUGGCAUCCUGCUGGGCAGCCUCCUUGACACCCAGGGGAUGAACAAUUGUAUUGCGCAUC